AGUGAACGCUGGCGGUAGGCCUAACACAUGCAAGUCGAACGGCAGCACAGUAAGAGCUUGCUCUUACGGGUGGCGAGUGGCGGGCGGGUGAGGAAUACAUCGGAAUCUACUUUUUCGUGGGGGAUAACGUAGGGAAACUUACGCUAAUACCGCAUACGACCUACGGGUGAAAGCAGGGGAUCUUCGGACCUUGCGCGAUUGAAUGAGCCGAUGUCGGAUUAGCUAGUUGGCGGGGUAAAGGCCCACCAAGGCGACGAUCCGUAGCUGGUCUGAGAGGAUGAUCAGCCACACUGGAACUGAGACACGGUCCAGACUCCUACGGGAGGCAGCAGUGGGGAAUAUUGGACAAUGGGCGCAAGCCUGAUCCAGCCAUACCGCGUGGGUGAAGAAGGCCUUCGGGUUGUAAAGCCCUUUUGUUGGGAAAGAAAAGCAGCAGGUUAAUACCCCGCUGUUCUGACGGUACCCAAAGAAUAAGCACCGGCUAACUUCGU
rnacentral:rRNA from 1 species